rnacentral:lncRNA from 1 species
GGGAGACAAAGUUGAGGCAGCGCGAGGGGGCUUCCGAGCUCAGCCCUCCGCACUUAAAGGAAAGACCCCCGGAGCUGCAGCCCAGAAGCUGCCGCUGACCUCGCCAUGCGGCUCUCUGACCUGAGACCCUGGGCCGCCCUACUGCUGGCGGACUCGGCCUUACUCUGGCUGCUCCAGGGACCUCUGGAGGCUCUGCUUCCCCGAGGGCUUCCAGGCCUGUGGCUGGAGGGCACCUUGCAACUUGGAGGGCUUUGGUGGCUGCUGAGGCUGGGAGGGCUGCUGGGAUAUGCGCGGACNCCCCCCCCCCCCCCCCCCCCGCUCCCCGCCCCGUCUGGUGAUCCCUCUGUUUUCCUGAGGGUUCUGGUCUCAGGAACCUUGAAUGUGCCCCCAGCAGAGUGGCUUCAGUCCCUUGGUGCUGCUGCUGCUGGGGUCCGGGGCUGCAGGGCUCAGCUGGGAAGUGUGGGCUGUGCAAACUGUGCAGUUUGCUGGAUUAGGAGCAAGAUGUCUGCUUGUAUAAGGAGGCUCUCAAAUGAUGCUGGCACCUGUGGUGGCCAGGAGACCUGGAACAGGCCCUCUGCCUGCUCUUAAGGAGGAUGCUGCACUUGACAAUGAAGGUGCUGUUGCUGAGCUGUGGGCUGCAGCAGGUCCUGGCUGGGACGUCACCCAGGGCGGGCUGCUGUCCUUUCUGCUCUACCAGGAGAACCUGGGCUCCUACAAGCAAUGCAACCGGAGGUGACAGUGCAUCCGGAGAGGACCCCGUCCCUGCAGCUCCGCAACCUGCUGCUUUGCUCUGUGACAGGGUUCUACCCAGGGGCCAUCGAGAUCAGGUGGUUCCGGAACGGGCAGGAGCAGAGAGAGGGGGUCCUGGCCACUGGCCUCGUCAGGAAUGGAGACUGGACCUUUCAGACAGUGGUGAUGCUGGAAAUGACUCCUGAGCUUGGGGACGUCUACACCAGCCUGCUGAGCCCCGUUUCUGUGGAGUGGAAAUAUGUUGAAAUCAGAGAUGUGGUUUUGGAUGUUUGGGAAGCAAAGAAGCAUAAAAUGGAGCAGAAGGUAAAGCCAGCUUUUGCCUGAAGAUGGAGUUCAGUCUUUUUACAUGUUUUAGCAGGGAUUUGUCUGCUAGAGACAAGUGAUGCUGCCUCACAUCUACUCCUCAUUGGCUGGAGAGAAAACCAUUAUAUCCUUAAAAAUAGCUCUGCAAAAUCUCUUUGCCGUCAUUGUCUUUAUUUGAGUGUUAGAGUUGAGCGUCAGCAUUAAAAGUCAGAGUUUUGGGGAAGGGAAGUAGCUGUAGGAAGCCACUUAGUACGUAAGCGUACCUUCCAUCUUCCAGGGCACCCUGCUCUUGCCUCGACACAGUUGCUCUAACAUCAAAGGGAGGUGAUAGGAUCAGCAGUGGGAGGAGGGGACAGAGUCACAAUUAGAUCAUGAAUCUUAAACCAGUGGUGGCUCAGCACUAACAGGUAUUCAAGAAGUAAUUAACUAUAAAUGUUAGCAGCUUAACGUGUUUGCCUCUUGGGAAAUCCAGGGGAUAGGUCUUGUGUGAAGGGGUCAAAUAAACAUCAGAGUCAAAUAAACAUCAUUUGUAACCCAGCUGUGGCUCUGGUCCUGGCUCUAUUCAAUGAAAAUGAUUGAUGACUCCAGAUCCGUUGGUGAGUAGCUGAUCCUCACAGCUUCUGGGUCAACCAAAAGGUUCCAGGGUGUAUUAGCGGAUAAGAAGGAAAUAAGGCUGAGGGUUUGGGAAAUGUACCCAAAUGCCUCCCAAUUGUCUGGGAGCAAAGCCAUUUUUUAAGGUGUCUAAGAGAGAGGUACAACUCUAGUAUAAAAUGAUUGCGGGUCCAAUCCUUAUUUCUUUCCUUUAUCCCAUCCAAUAUUAAAAAGGAUACUUGGCACAGGGAACUAUAUCUGAUCACCUGUGAUAGAACAUGAUAGAAGAGAUGAUAUGAGAAAAAGAAUGUACACAUAUGUAUGACUGGGUCACUUUGCUGUGCAGCAGAAAUCGACAGAACAUUGUAAAUCAACUAGAAUAAAAAAUUAAAAACUAUUUAGUUUCUCUGUCCUAUGUUUUUGGAACUAUUGUUCUUGUUCCAAUCCAUGGGUUACCUUUUCAGUCAGGCCAAUGAGGAGGUGCAGGCAGAUUUUCAAGUAGCCCUCCAGCCACAAUAAUGUAUUGCUGUUAUAUUAGUCUGUUUUUAUUACUGAGCCUUUUACAUGCCAUGUAGCUUUUUAGGCACGUUCUGAAUACCGGCUCAUGGAGUCCUCACAGCAAUCCUUUGAGGAAGUACUGUGAGGAUGAGCAUCCACAGUUAUGGAUGAGGAAACUGGCACAGAGGAGUUUAAGAGCUUGUGUGAUGGUACAACCCUGGAAAAUUGUAAGACCCCAAUUCAAUAUGGGCAGAAGAUAACUGCUGCCAGAGGGACCUGCUUAACUACUAUGCGACACUGCCUUUCAUAGCCGGGGACCCACUUCUGUUAUUCAGAUGAGAUGGUUGAAUAUGGUCUGCCCAGAACUUCUUUCAUGUUACGUCAUAUCAAAGACCGGUACUGUCUUGGAAGCUGGAAAUUGGCAGUCUUUUUUUUUUUUUUNUUUUUUUUUUUUUUUUUUUUUUUUUUUGCCUUUUAGGGCCAAACUCAAGGCUUAUGGAAGUUCCCCGGCUAGGUGUUGAAUUGAAUCGGAGCUAGAGCUGCCGGCCUACACCACAGCCACAGCAACGUGGGAUACAAGCCUCAUCCGUGACCUACACCCCGGCUCACGCGGCAACUCCGGAUCCCCAACGGAGGCCAGGGGUUGAAUCCUCACCCUCUCGGCUACUAGUCAGAUUCAUUUCUGCUGUGCCACAGUGGGAACGCCUGAAAUGUGUACUCUUGUUGCUGACUCAGCUCUUUUCCAUCAGGUCCCUUGAGGGGCAAGUUCUGGGUGGACAUUUCUAUGUUCUCAGUACUUGUAAUCCCUGGUAUCUAUUAAGUAGGUGCCUAAUAAAUUAAAAUAAAUUCUUUAUAGACAAACACACACAUAUAGGCAUGAAUGUGUGACUGUAUUCCAUACAGAACCUGCACAGAUCAGAAGCCUGAAACUAUCUUUAUCUUAUGUGGGAAUUGACACCCUUUGUGGUCAGGAAAGCUGGUCUUCUCACACCAAGGUCAAGUGUGGCUGUAGGAGGCGGAGCCUGCAGGUGCAGCAGCGUGUGGAGGCUACUUCUGACGCCCCUCUUCUCCCGAGGAAGAGAGUGUCCUAUCCCAGUCGGCGUUCCCAUCUUCCCCCCUGGACAACCUCAGACUUUUAAUGGCUUCGAGGUUUAGACCACACGUGCAAGUGUGAGAUAUUUCUCUUCUCAAUUUUUUUUUUUUUGUGGUGUAUGAUAGGAAGUCAUUAUUUUAAUUCUUGGAGAUGACUUUGUUUACAGUAUUAAAUUACACAUGAGGGAAAUGAGAAGGGUUGACGACAAAGGUCGUGUGAAAAGAUUGAGAGGUGGGUUUAACAGUUCAAAUUAGAUUGAAAGCUGUUAAUAGGUGGCCUUGAAGGUCGGAGACACCUCAAGCCUGGUGGAGAGAAACAAGGGGACAGAAGAGAUAGAGGGGCUACUUCAAGAGUUCCAAAUAUUAUUCUGACUAAUAAUUCAAUACAAAUUUUAUUUUACUGCUGGGUUUAUAAAGCCGAUCACAGAUCUGUCAGACCACGUAAGAAGCAGGAAGAGGAGAAAACAAGAUCCCUUUUAUUGUAGUCUAGAUCCUUGGGUGACAUUUUAUUCCUUCCACCUUCACAGGUAUAAAUGUAGAUAUAGAUAUAAAUGGAAAAAUGGUCAGAGGCUUGAGAUCAUAGUAAACAUGCCAAUUUGUCACUAAGCUUUGUUUUUAAUUAAUUUUUUCCUAUCAGUUUUAUUGUGUUAUGAUUGACAUACAACAUUGGAGAAGUUUAAGAUAUAAAGCAUGGGGAGUUCCCUUGAGGUGCAGCGGGUUAAGGAUCCGGUGUUGUCACUGAAAUGGCUCGGGUCGCUAAUGUGGUGCAGACUGAAUCUCUGGCCCAGGAACUGCCUCGGGUGCAGCGGAAAAAAAAAAAAAAAAAAAAAAAAA